rnacentral:rRNA from 1 species
CAGCCGCCGCGGGAAUACGAAGGGUGCAAGCGUUACUCGGAAUUACUGGGCGUAAAGCGUGCGUAGGUGGUGGUUUAAGUCCGUUGUGAAAGCCCUGGGCUCAACCUGGGAAUUGCAGUGGAUACUGGGUCACUAGAGUGUGGUAGAGGAUAGUGGAAUUUCCGGUGUAGCAGUGAAAUGCGUAGAGAUCGGAAGGAACAUCUGUGGCGAAGGCGACUAUCUGGGCCAACACUGACACUGAGGCGCGAAAGCGUGGGGAGCAAACAGGAUUAGAUACCCCCGUAGUCCCUGUCUCUUAUAC